rnacentral:rRNA from 1 species
AGGCAGCAUUGGGGAAUAUUGGACAAUGGGCGCAAGCCUGAUCCAGCCAUACCGCGUGGGUGAAGAAGGCCUUCGGGUUGUAAAGCCCUUUUGUUGGGAAAGAAAAGCAGCCAGUUAAUACCUGGUUGUUCUGACGGUACCCAAAGAAUAAGCACCGGCUAACUUCGUGCCAGCAGCCGCGGUAAUACGAAGGGUGCAAGCGUUACUCGGAAUUACUGGGCGUAAAGCGUGCGUAGGUGGUUGUUUAAGUCUGUUGUGAAAGCCCUGGGCUCAACCUGGGGAAUUGCAGUGGAUACUGGGCGACUAGAGUGUGGUAGAGGGUAGUGGAAUUCCUGGUGUAGCAGUGAAAUGCGUAGAGAUCAGGAGGAACAUCCAUGGCGAAGGCAGCUACCUGGACCAACACUGACACUGAGGCACGAAAGCGUGGGGAACAAACAGGAUUAGAUACCCUGGUAG